rnacentral:lncRNA from 1 species
UAAUAUAUUUGAAAUUUAAACAAAGUUUAAAAGCUAAGAAACCACAAUACCAAAAUAGUUUGAAACAAAAUAAUAACCACAAAUAGUAUAUCUACGGUUUCUCCAUAGUUGCUCUGCAAUGUUGUUACGAAUACCCGCCAUAUAUGCAUCACCUGUAGGUACAUAAUCCCUUCCUUGACUUUCUUCUUCAUCGUCAUCUGAAUCUGACAAAUCAAGCACUCCAUUUUCCAUUUGUUCGUACUCUUGAAAAUCUUCAUCAUUAUUCGUUGAUUUUCGUAUGAAAUUAUGUAAUGCCAUAGUCGCUA